rnacentral:lncRNA from 1 species
UGCCUGUGCCAUUGAUAUAACUGUGUGCUUUUAUAGUUGUGGUAGCGGCUUAAAUUGUUCAUGAUGAUUCACAGAGAUAAACGAAACGUAUAGUGAACGUUUCAGUCACGUGGUUAGAAGGAGGAUUUCUCGAAUACUGUUUUUCAUCCCUUCCUUGUAUGUGAAUUUCAUUUCUAUUUUAUUUAUAGAAGGGUUUAGUAAAAUGUAACCAGU